CAGAAGCAGCAUGGAAGGAGAGACGCGCCCGCGUUGCCUCCUAACUUUAGGCCACGGCAGCAAGGAGAACCACGGCGGGACUGAAGGAACCCCGACCGGGCAAGAAAAUAGGCUCAUGGAGGCCUGCUGCAGUCGCCACCUGGAUGAUUUGCAUGAGGGUUGAAAUCCAGAAGAGGGAUUUGCCUUAAAGAUGGAGGCCUGUGGAUACGAAGCAUCAGAGGCUGCAGAUGGUCCUGAGAUCAAAGUUCCUGACAUGGGAGCGUCUUUGCGUUGCUUCCUGAUCAGAGGCUGCAGGGAUUCGAGUCGUCCUGAGAUCAAAGUUCUAGACGCGGGAGCCGGUUCUCUUUGUUUGCUGGUGCCACCAGAUGACCGCUGCCCUCAAACCGGACUGAAGAACUGAAUACACACAUUUUCUGUAAUUGCUUCAAUAUGAAGCCAUCUUCUGUUUGAAUAAACAAUAACUAAAUGUC